rnacentral:rRNA from 1 species
CGACUGCUAAGACUGGAUAGGAGACAAGAAGGCAUCUUCUUGUUUUUAAAAGACCUAGCAAUAGGUAUGCUUAGGGAGGAGCUUGCGUCACAUUAGUUAGUUGGUGGGGUAAAGGCCUACCAAGACUAUGAUGUGUAGCCGGGCUGAGAGGUUGAACGGCCACAUUGGGACUGAGACACGGCCCAAACUCCUACGGGAGGCAGCAGUAGGGAAUUUUCGGCAAUGGAGGAAACUCUGACCGAGCAACGCCGCGUGAACGAUGAAGUAUUUCGGUACGUAAAGUUCUUUUAUUAGGGAAGAAUAAAUGAUGGAAAAAUCAUUCUGACGGUACCUAAUGAAUAAGCCCCGGCUAACUAUGUGCCAGCAGCCGCGGUAAUACAUAGGGGGCAAGCGUUAUCCGGAAUUAUUGGGCGUAAAGGGUGCGUAGGCGGUUAAAUAAGUUUAUGGUCUAAGUGCAAUGCUCAACAUUGUGAUGCUAUAAAAACUGUUUAGCUAGAGUAAGAUAGAGGCAAGUGGAAUUCCAUGUGUAGUGGUAAAAUGCGUAAAUAUAUGGAGGAACACCAGUAGCGAAGGCGGCUUGCUGGGUCUUUACUGACGCUGAGGCACGAAAGCGUGGGGAGCAAACAGGAUUAGAUACCCUGGUAGUCCACGCCGUAAACGAUGAGUACUAAACGUUGGGUAAAACCAGUGUUGAAGUUAACACAUUAAGUACUCCGCCUGAGUAGUACGUACGCAAGUAUGAAACUUAAAGGAAUUGACGGGACUCCGCACAAGCGGUGGAUCAUGUUGUUUAAUUCGAAGGUACCCGAAAAACCUCACCAGGUCUUGACAUGCUUCUGCAAAGCUGUAGAAACACAGUGGAGGUUAUCAGUUGCACAGGUGGUGCAUGGUUGUCGUCAGCUCGUGUCGUGAGAUGUUGGGUUAAGUCCCGCAACGAGCGCAACCCUUAUUGUUAGUUACCAGCACGUAAUGGUGGGGACUUUAGCAAGACUGCCAGUGAUAAAUUGGAGGAAGGUGGGGACGACGUCAAAUCAUCAUGCCCCUUAUGACCUGGGCUACAAACGUGAUACAAUGGCUGUUACAAAGGGUAGCUGAAGCGCAAGUUUUUGGCGAAUCUCAAAAAAACAGUCUCAGUUCGGAUUGAAGUCUGCAACUCGACUUCAUGAAGUUGGAAUCGCUAGUAAUCGCGAAUCAGCAUGUCGCGGUGAAUACGUUCUCGGGGUUUGUACACACCGCCCGUCAAACCACGAAAGUUGGCAAUACCCAAAGCCGGUGGCCUAACUUCG